rnacentral:tRNA from 1 species
GGGCGCGUAGCUCAGUGGGAGAGCACUUCGUUGACAUCGAAGGGGUCGCUGGUUCAAUCCCAGCCGCGCCCACCA